rnacentral:lncRNA from 1 species
GGCUGACCAGAAACCCUUGAAAGAAUCAGAAAAGCAACUGAGUCCUCCAGCAGUAGAGGACAGAGCUUCUAUCGACAUUUCCUCUUUUCAUACUGUCGAGACAGCGGUAGACUGACAGCAUCAUAACAACAUUUUAUAAUAAAAUAAAACGCAGUCUGUUCCUGUUGGAAACGCUGGUGUGAAUAGAUCUCACAGAACAGCCAUAAAUCAUCUGUACAGGCAAAUACUGAAGAUAUUCACGAGGAACAUGAUCAGCAGGACACGGCUCACUGCAUCGCUGCAGCAGAGGAAACUGGUAACGAGCUGCUCUCAACUCACCAGCAGUUGAAUGGUAAGACAAGGAAAAUACAGAAUACAUCGUUUCUUGGAGCCCUGUAAGCACAAUAUCUGCUCAUUCAGAACAAACAUCGAAGAAUGAAAAUCACUCAGAAAAGCAGGACCAGGAAACUUUACCAGAGAAAGUAAAUGCGGUAAUGUCCACCCACCUUCCACAAAUCUUUCCUCUUGUCCUCACUGAUUAAAUCACACCUGUCUGAAUCUGAAGGCAAUGAGACUUGUCAGAAUUGUCUUCAUUAUCUGCUAAACUCUGAAAUCUAUCUUGUUGGACAUGGCUGCUCGAUCAUUGUUCUUUGCUUAGUGAGAUUUUAAGCAUUUUCCUCUGCAGGAACAGUCCAGCGUUGAAGGCACUGGGGAGGAAGAUGAUCAGAACAUGAACGUCACAGCUAUGGAGGAGGAAGAGGCCUCAGUCCCAGAGAACACUGAAGUAGCCUCUAUGUGUACUGGUGCGUCUCAAGAAACAAAUCUCCGGUCUCCCUCCACAACAGGCAAAACUGAGCCUUCCACCCCAACUUUCAAAUUUAACCCUGGCUUUUCCGCACUUCAAGAGACUCCUGAUAACAAAUCUCCAGCUUUCCCAUUCUCGCUGAGCUCAGACCCCAGCCCGGCCGUCUUCCCUGGGUUCAGAUUUGACAUGGGCUCAUUACAGGAUGAGGACAUAUCCUUUGGUUUCACUGGACCUUUUUUCAGUGAGAAAAAAACCACAGAUUCAAAGGCUACAAGCCCUAAGUUUGUCUUUAAUCAGCAAAAGAAAAGUGGAGACUUCCAGUUUGGCUUCGCCUCCAAGAGUCCACAGAAAGACAACAAAGACACCGGGCUACCAUUUUCAUUUAACUUCUAA